rnacentral:lncRNA from 1 species
CCGGAAGCUUAUAAGAAAUCUCACUAUGCCCUCCGACGAACCAUCAAACAGGCAAAGUGUCAAUACAAGACUAAGUUCGAAUCGUACUACACCGGCUCCGACGCUCGUCGGAUGUGGCAGGGCUUGCAAACUAUUACAGACUACAAAGGGAAGCACAGCCGUGAGCUGCCCAGUGACACAAACCUGCCAGACAAGCUAAAUCACUUCUAUGCUCGCUUCAAGGCAAGUAACACUCAAACAUGAAUGAGAGCACCAGCUGUUCCGGACAACUGUGUGAUCACGCUAUCUGUAGCCGAUGUGAGUAAGACCUUUAAACAGGUCAACAUUCACAAGGCCGCAGGGCCAGACGGAUUACCAGGACGUGUACUCUGAGCAUGCGCUGACCAACUGGCAAGUGUCUUCACUGACAUUUUCAACCUGUCCCUGACUGGGUUACUGUUGGGGCUAGACUGGGUUACUGUUAGGGCUAGACUGGGUUAGACUGGGUUAGGGCUGGACCGGGUUAGACUGGGUUACUGUUAGGGCUAGACUGGGUUAGACUGGGUUACUGUUAGGGCUAGACUGGGUUACUGUUAGGGCUGGACCGGGUUAGACUGGGUUAGACUGGGUUAGACUGGGAUACUGUUAGGGCUGGACUGGGUUAGACUGGGUUACUGUUAGGGCUAGACUGGGUUAGACUGGGUUACUGUUAGGGUUAGACUGGGUUACUGUUAGGGCUGGACUGGGUUAGGCUGGGUUACUGUUGGGGCUGGAUUGGGUUAGGCUGGGUUACUGUUAGGGCUAGACUGGGUUAGACUGGGUUACUGUUAGGGCUGGACUGGGUUAGACUGGGUUACUGUUAGGGCUGGACUGGGUUAGACUGGGUUACUGUUAGGACCGGACUGGGUUACUGUUAGGGCUAGACUGGGUUACUGUUAGGGCUAGACUGGGUUAGACUGGGUUACUGUUGGGGCUGGACUGGAUUAGACUGGGUUACUGUUAGGGUUAGACUGGGUUACUGUUAGGGCUGGACUGGGUUACUGUUAGGGCUGGACUGGGUUAGACUGGGUUACUGUUAGGGCUAGACUGGGUUAGACUGGGUUACUGUUAGGGCUAGACUGGGUUAGACUGGGUUACUGUUAGGGCUGGACUGGCCUGGACUGGGUUACUGUUAGGGCUGGAUUGGUUUAGACUGGGUUACUGUUAGUGCUGGACUGGGUUAGACUGGGUUACUGUUAGGGCUAGACUGGGUUACUGUUAGGGCUGGACUGGGUUAGACUGGGUUACUGUUAGGGCUAGACUGGGCUACACUGGGUUACUGUUAGGGCUGG